AUUGAAUUUCCACAACAGAGUCAUGCAAGACCGCCGCAGCGUGUGCAUUUUCCUUCCCAAUGAUGAAUCUCUGAACAUCAUCAUAAAUGUUUGGUAUUUUCCUGGGGUGAUGGUGACUUUGGAAAAUUGGGCCGGGGCGGAAGUGAAGGCUGCAACAUUCCCCAGAACAUUGAGAGACUAAAUGGACAGGGGGUGUGCCAGAUUGAGUGUGGAGCUCAGUUCCUACUGGCGCUCACCAAGUCUGGAGUGGUGUGGACAUGGGGAAAGGGGGAUUACUUCAGGUUGGGCCACCGCUCUGACGUGCACGUUCGGAAGCCGCAGGUGGUGGAAGGGCUGAGAGGGAAGAAGAUCGUGCAUGUGGCUGUCGGGGCCCAGCAUUGCCUGGCGGUCAUGGACUCAGGGCAGUAGAGACAGGGUUUCACCGUGGUCUCGAUCUCCUGACC